AACGCCCCGCAAGGGGAGUGGCAGACGGGUGAGUAACGCGUGGGAACAUACCCUUCGGUUCGGAAUAGCUCAGGGAAACUUGGAUUAAUACCGGAUACGUCCGUAAGGAGAAAGAUUUAUCGCCGAAGGAUUGGCCCGCGUCUGAUUAGCUUGUUGGUGAGGUAAUGGCUCACCAAGGCGACGAUCAGUAGCUGGUCUGAGAGGAUGACCAGCCACAUUGGGACUGAGACACGGCCCAAACUCCUACGGGAGGCAGCAGUGGGGAAUAUUGGACAAUGGGCGAAAGCCUGAUCCAGCCAUGCCGCGUGAGUGAUGAAGGCCUUAGGGUUGUAAAGCUCUUUUACCCGGGAAGAUAAUGACGGUACCGGGAGAAUAAGCCCCGGCUAACUUCGUGCCAGCAGCCGCGGUAAUACGAAGGGGGCUAGCGUU
rnacentral:rRNA from 1 species